GAGCGGCGAACGGGUGAGUAACACGUGAGCAACCUGCCCCUGACUCUGGGAUAAGCCUGGGAAACCGGGUCUAAUACCGGAUAUGACCGUCUCCGGCAUCGGAUGAUGGUGGAAAGAUUUUUUGGUCGGGGAUGGGCUCGCGGCCUAUCAGCUUGUUGGUGGGGUAGUGGCCUACCAAGGCGACGACGGGUAGCCGGCCUGAGAGGGCGACCGGCCACACUGGGACUGAGACACGGCCCAGACUCCUACGGGGAGGCAGCAGUGGGGAAUAUUGCGCAAUGGGCGGAAGCCUGACGCAGCGACGCCGCGUGGGGGAUGACGGCCUUCGGGUUGUAAACCUCUUUCAGCAGGGACGAAGGUGACGUGUACCUGCAGAAGAAGCGCCGGCUAACUACGUGCCAGCAGCCGCGGUAAUACGUAGGGCGCAAGCGUUGUCCGGAAUUAUUGGGCGUAAAGAGCUCGUAGGUGGCUGGUCGCGUCUGCCGUGAAAGCCCGCAGCUUAACUGCGGGUCUGCGGNGGAUACGGGCCGGCUAGAGGUAGGUAGGGNCAAGUGGAAUUCCU
rnacentral:rRNA from 1 species